rnacentral:rRNA from 1 species
UGGGGAAUUUUGGACAAUGGGCGAAAGCCUGAUCCAGCAAUGCCGCGUGUGUGAAGAAGGCCUUCGGGUUGUAAAGCACUUUUGUCCGGAAAGAAAUGGCUCUGGUUAAUACCUGGGGUCGAUGACGGUACCGGAAGAAUAAGGACCGGCUAACUACGUGCCAGCAGCCGCGGUAAUACGUAGGGUCCAAGCGUUAAUCGGAAUUACUGGGCGUAAAGCGUGCGCAGGCGGUUGUGCAAGACCGAUGUGAAAUCCCCGAGCUUAACUUGGGAAUUGCAUUGGUGACUGCACGGCUAGAGUGUGUCAGAGGGGGGUAGAAUUCCACGUGUAGCAGUGAAAUGCGUAGAGAUGUGGAGGAAUACCGAUGGCGAAGGCAGCCCCCUGGGAUAACACUGACGCUCAUGCACGAAGGCGUGGGGAGCAAACAGG